CUGACAUCGCCCCGCAGCACCCAGGGCCGCUCCAUGCCCAGGCUGACAUCCCCCGGCAAUACCGGGGACACCCAGGGCCGGUCCGUGCCCAGGCUGACAUCACCCCGCAGCUCCCAGGGCCGGUCCCUGCACCGACUGAUAAUGCCCCGUAGCACCGAGGGCACCCAGGGCCGGUCCGUGUCCCGGCUGACAUCCCCCGGCAAUACCGGGGACACCCAGGGCCGGUCCGUGUCCCGGCUGACAUCGUCCAGCAGCUCCAAGGGCCGGUCCCGGUCCCAGCUGACAUCGCCCCGCAGCACCGAGGGCCGGUCCGUGCCCAGGCUGACAUCACCUGGUAACUCCAAGGGCCGGUCCCGGUCCCGGCUGACAUCGCCCCGCAGUACCAGGGACACUGAGGGCCGGUCCCGGUCCCGGCUGACAUCGCCCAGCAGCACCAAGGGUCCAUCCGUGUCCCGGCUGACAUCACCCGGCAGCUCCAAGGGCCGGUCCCGGCUGACAUUGCCCGGCAAUACCGGGGACACCGAGGACCAGUCCCAGUCCCAGCUAACAUCGUCCAGCAGCUCCAAGGACCAGUCCAUGCCCAGGCUGACAUCGUCCAGCAGCUCCAAGGGCCGGUCCCGGUACCGGCUGACCUUGCCCCGCAGUACCGGGGACACCGAGGACCCAUCUGUGUCCCAGCUGACAUCGUCCCGCAGCUCCAAGGGCCGGUCCCGGUCCCGGCUGACCUUGCCCCGCAGUACCGAGGGUUGGUCCCGGUCCCGGCUGACCUUGCCCCGCAGUACCGGGGACACCGAGGACCCGUUCAUGUCCCAGCUGCCAUCGCCCCGCAGCUCCCUGGGCUCGGGGGGCACCGAGAGCCGUCCCAGCCUGGACAAGGGGGAACAAGGCCCGCGGGGGCGCAGGUCCCACCCUGCCGGCUCCUCGCAGCCGCCCGUCCUGGCCCAGCCCCUGAGGAGCCGCCGGGCCUGCAGCGGCCCGGUGGGGCCGGAACCGGCCUCGGUGAGGAAAACAUCCCCUGACCCACAGAGAGAGGCCUCUCACCGUGCCGAGCAGGAAACCCAGACUGCGGCCUGGGCCCAAGAGGAUUCAGCUGUUCAAUACACUGAGCAGAUGACACAGACAGAUCUUGUGGCAGAACAGGAGAAAAACUCAGCUGCUCCCCUCAUGGUUGACCAGAAGACACAGACUGAGACUCCAAGACAAGUGAAUUCAGCUUCUCCUCAAACCAACAAGAGGACACAGAGCAAGGCGCACGGCUCUGCCCGCUCCACAGGCACAGGUGCCCCGGCUCAGCAGCAGCAGCCGCCCUCACAGCUGUGCAGGGCGUUCUGGCGCUCCUGCACAUCUGGACAGCCUCCUGCUGCCAGCACCCUGCAGGGGCCCGGGGACAGCCGCUGCUCCAGGCAGCCAAAACGUCCUGAGCGCGGCACGCCAGAGAAGUGGGGAUGGAUGACACUGCCGCCCUACUCCUGGCCAUGGCUCAUUGAGAUGAAUCAGUUUUAA
rnacentral:lncRNA from 1 species